CAUCUGGUUAUUAUAAGUAAUGUUUUGUUUUACAAGACCUCAACGGACGUUGAGCAGGGAAUUAGGUGAGAAUCCUAAACUGUACCCGCAGCUGUAUGCGAUGAGUAUUAUCAAGGCCACUGACUCUAAGAUCGUGAGUUGGGAAGGCGAUAAUGCGUUUUAGUCGUGAGUCAGAAUACCUGUUACUAACCUUUGCAUCAUC
rnacentral:ncRNA from 1 species